rnacentral:rRNA from 1 species
UAAAGCGCACGCAGGCGGUCUGUCAAGUCGGAUGUGAAAUCCCCGGGCUCAACCUGGGAACUGCAUUCGAAACUGGCAGGCUUGAGUCUUGUAGAGGGGGGUAGAAUUCCAGGUGUAGCGGUGAAAUGCGUAGAGAUCUGGAGGAAUACCGGUGGCGAAGGCGGCCCCCUGGACAAAGACUGACGCUCAGGUGCGAAAGCGUGGGGAGCAAACAGGAUUAGAUACCCUGGUAGUCCACGCCGUAAACGAUGUCUACUUGGAGGUUGUGCCCUUGAGGCGUGGCUUCCGGAGCUAACGCGUUAAGUAGACCGCCUGGGGAGUACGGCCGCAAGGUUAAAACUCAAAUGAAUUGACGGGGGCCCGCACAAGCGGUGGAGCAUGUGGUUUAAUUCGAUGCAACGCGAAGAACCUUACCUGGUCUUGACAUCCACGGAAGUUUUCAGAGAUGAGAAUGUGCCUUCGGGAACCGUGAGACAGGUGCUGCAUGGCUGUCGUCAGCUCGUGUUGUGAAAUGUUGGGUUAAGUCCCGCAACGAGCGCAACCCUUAUCCUUUGUUGCCAGCGAUUAGGUCGGGAACUCAAAGGAGACUGCCAGUGAUAAACUGGAGGAAGGUGGGGAUGACGUCAAGUCAUCAUGGCCCUUACGACCAGGGCUACACACGUGCUACAAUGGCGCAUACAAAGAGAAGCGACCUCGCGAGAGCAAGCGGACCUCAUAAAGUGCGUCGUAGUCCGGAUUGGAGUCUGCAACUCGACUCCAUGAAGUCGGAAUCGCUAGUAAUCGUGGAUCAGAAUGCCACGGUGAAUACGUUCCCGGGCCUUGUACACACCGCCCGUCACACCAUGGGAGUGGGUUGCAAAAGAAGUAGGUAGCUUAACCUUCGGGAGGGCGCUUACCACUUUGUGAUUCAUGACUGGGGUGAAGUCGUAACAAGGUAACCGUAGGGGAACCUGCGGUUGGAUCACCUCCUUACCUUAAAGAA